UUCUCAACUUGCAAUUAGCCACACAUAUCAUAUACAGAUUUUGUAUUGUUAGAAAUGGCCCUCCUCCUCUUCCGUGCCUCCAAAUUGAUGUCAUUUGCUGCUCUUUUAGCAAUACUUUUACUGCUUAUGUCCUCCACAAUGGGAAGUGCUGCUCAGCCUAGUUUUAAGCUCGUGCGAAAGCUUCUCCAAACUAAAUACCCGCCUGCUUAUCCUGGAUAUCCUGGUGGUGGAGGAUAUAGCCCAAAAACACCAUGAAAUCAUCAACCAUGCCAAGGGGGAAAUAAUUACCAAUACCACAGAACUGCUCUGUUGCUGAAAUAUUGGAGAUGUUAGCAUCGUUCUUUAAUAUAAGUGCCAGUACUAUAAGAGUGCUAAAUUUAAAAUUACUUUUAUAGCAUGCAUACAUGUAUGUAUGUGCCAGUACAAUAGGAUAAUAAUAUAUGUAUUUAAUUUCGACGAACCAUGUGUACCACUACUAUCAGUCACAACCAAUAAGUGGCUAGACCAGUUGAAUUGCAACGAAUAAAUUUGUCAUUCUUCUUU